UCGUGCUAAACGGGGAGCUAGCGGUGCCCUGUAGCCUGCAAUCCGCUACAGCAGGGUUGAAUCCCCCGUAUAGGCUUUAAUUUGUCAGGUCAGUGUAGUCAAACUGGUGCUGAUAACUUGGUCCCAUGCAGCAGAAAGUCAUAAACUCCGUCAGGUUCGGAAGAAAGCAGCGGUAAGUGAAUUUUUCUGUGUGCCGUGGAGCAACCUGGUUUGAGCUAGUUUAACUGCAAACGCUGGUAGAUUAAUUGUCAACACGGGGUGCACGG
rnacentral:SRP_RNA from 1 species